CGGAGGGUGCAAACGUUGCUCGGAAUCAUUGGGCGUAAAGCGCACGUAGGCGGACCGCUAAGUCGGAUGUGAAAGCCCUCGGCUUAACCGAGGAAGUGCAUUCGAAACUGACAGUCUUGAGUAUGGAAGAGGGUCGCGGAAUUCCCGGUGUAGAGGUGAAAUUCGUAGAUAUCGGGAGGAACACCAGUGGCGAAGGCGGCGACCUGGGCCAAUACUGACGCUGAGGUGCGAAAGCGUGGGGAGCAAACAGGAUUAGAUACCUGGUAGUCCACGCCGUAAACGAUGAGUGCUAGAUGUCGCGGGUAUUGACCCCUGCGGCGUCGUAGCUAACGCGUUAAGCACUCCGCCUGGGGAGUACGGCCGCAAGGCUA
rnacentral:rRNA from 1 species